GUAUGUUUCUCACCUCGUUAAUCAGAACUCAGCAUUUCUUUUUAAACUAGGGAAUUUCCACUUGCUGAAUUCACUGACUAGACAUAGGAUUCAUCUGAGAUGGAAUCUCUGGACAAAAUGGAGUCCUGAAAGAAAUGCCCUUAGUUUAAAUUGAAGACUCUACUAUUGGUUUGUUCCUGAAAUGUUGUGAUUUAAGAAAGUUCAUGUGAGGUGAAAGAGAACAAGAAGAAGAAACAGACAGCAAUUAAGACACACUGCCAAACAUCUGGAGGAGAGAGGAAAAGAAUUAUGGGAAACCAGAUGGAAAGAGUGCUGGCCAGAUAAAAAUGACAGCAAAGUUUCUUCAGAAUGCGCUUGUUCCACUGAACUGCAUGGCCUAUUCCACAGGAAUGAAGGUGCCCUGGUAUACAUCUGAUGGCUCUUAGCCAGCAUCGAGCAUUACUUCUUGGAAAAUGAGGAACAGCACGUGCAUCGAAAUCAUCCUGAAUUUCCUGGUAGGCUAAAAUGCUCUUUAAAUGUGCCAGGGUCAUAGA
rnacentral:lncRNA from 1 species